AUCUUGGUUCAGGACGAACGCUGGCGGCGUGCCUAAUACAUGCAAGUCGAACGGUCUUUCUAUGGAAGCUUGCUUCCACUGAGAAGAUAGUGGCGAACGGGUGAGUAACACGUGGGUAACCUGCCCAUAAGAGGGGGAUAACAUCCGGAAACGGGUGCUAAUACCGCAUAGUUUUCUUGAUCGCAUGAUUGGGAAAGGAAAGACGGCCUUUGUGCUGUCGCUUAUGGAUGGACCCGCGGCGUAUUAGUUAGUUGGUGAGGUAACGGCUCACCAAGACGAUGAUACGUAGCCGACCUGAGAGGGUGAUCGGCCACAUUGGGACUGAGACACGGCCCAAACUCCUACGGGAGGCAGCAGUAGGGAAUCUUCCGCAAUGGACGAAAGUCUGACGGAGCAACGCCGCGUGAGUGAAGAAAGGUUUUCGGAUCGUAAAACUCUGUUGUCAGAGAAGAACAAGUUGGAGAGUAACUGCUCCAGCCUUGACGGUAUCUGACCAGAAAGCCACGGCUAACUACGUGCCAGCAGCGGC
rnacentral:rRNA from 1 species